rnacentral:rRNA from 1 species
UAGGGAAUCUUCGGCAAUGGACGAAAGUCUGACCGAGCAACGCCGCGUGAGUGAAGAAGGUUGUCGGAUCGUAAAACUCUGUUGUUAGAGAAGAACAAGGACGUUAGUAACUGAACGUCCCCUGACGGUAUCUAACCAGAAAGCCACGGCUAACUACGUGCCAGCAGCCGCGGUAAUACGUAGGUGGCAAGCGUUGUCCGGAUUUAUUGGGCGUAAAGCGAGCGCAGGCGGUUUCUUAAGUCUGAUGUGAAAGCCCCCGGCUCAACCGGGGAGGGUCAUUGGAAACUGGGAGACUUGAGUGCAGAAGAGGAGAGUGGAAUUCCAUGUGUAGCGGUGAAAUGCGUAGAUAUAUGGAGGAACGCCAGUGGCGAAGGCGGCUCUCUGGUCUGUAACUGACGCUGAGGCUCGAAAGCGUGGGGAGCAAACAGG